rnacentral:rRNA from 1 species
GUCCACGCCGUAAACGAUGUCGAUUUGGAGGCUGUGUCCUUGAGAUGUGGCUUCCGGAGCUAACGCGUUAAAUCGACCGCCUGGGAGUACGGCCGCAAGGUUAAACUCAAAUGAAUUGACGGGGCCCGCACAAGCGGUGGAGCAUGUGGUUUAAUUCGAUGCAACGCGAAAACCUUACCUGGCCUUGACAUGUCUGGAAUCCUGUAGAGAUACGGGAGUGCCUUGGGAAUCAGAACACAGGUGCUGCAUGGCUGUCGU